rnacentral:rRNA from 1 species
CACGUAGGCGGAUAUUUAAGUCAGGGGUGAAAUCCCAGAGCUCAACUCUGGAACUGCAUUCGAUACUGGGAAGCUAGAGUAUGGGAGAGGAUGGUAGAAUUCCAGGUGUAGCGGUGAAAUGCGUAGAGAUCUGGAGGAAUACCGAUGGCGAAGGCAGCCAUCUGGCCUAAUACUGACGCUGAGGUACGAAAGCAGUGGGGAGCAAACA